GGGGAUGUAGCUCAGUGGCAGAGUGCUUGCCUAGCAUGCACAAGGCCCUGGGUUCAAGGCUCAGUACUGCCA
rnacentral:tRNA from 1 species